rnacentral:rRNA from 1 species
UACAGGGGGGCAAGCGUUGUUCGGAAUUACUGGGCGUAAAGGGCCAGUAGGCGGCCAACUAAGUUCACACGUGAAAUCCCCAGGCUUAACCUGGGAACUGGCGUGUGAUACUGGAUGGCUUGAAUUCGGGAGAGGGAUGCAGAAUUCCAGGGUGUACGCGGGUGAAAUGCGUAGAUAUCUGGAGGAAUACCGGUGGCGAAGGCGGCAUCCUGGACCGACAUUGACGCU